rnacentral:rRNA from 1 species
CAAUAGCGUAUAUUAAAGUUGUUGCAGUUGAAAAGCUCGUAGUUGGAUUUCUGGUAGGAGUGACCGUUCCGAACUUGAUUGUUCGUGUAUUGUGUUUUCUCCAGCCAUCCUUGUGGAGAACUUUUCUUGCAUUAAUUUGUAGGGAUUGGGACCCGCAUCGUUUACUGUGAAAAAAUUAGAGUGUUUAAAGCAGGCAAUCGCUUGAAUACAUUAGCAUGGAAUAAUAAGAUAGGACUUUGGUACUAUUUUGUUGGUUUGCAUACCAAAUUAAUGAUCAACAGGAACAGUUUGAGGAUAUUCGUAUGAACAUGUCAGAGGUGAAAUUCUUGGAUUUUGAUCAGACGAACUACUGCGAAAGCAUUUAUCAAGGAUGUUUUCAUUAA